UGACCCCUACGCUGAAUACUCUGCAGCUGC
rnacentral:piRNA from 1 species